rnacentral:rRNA from 1 species
UCUACGGGUGGCAGCAGUGAGGAAUAUUGGUCAAUGGGCGCGAGCCUGAACCAGCCAAGUAGCGUGAAGGAUGACUGCCCUACGGGUUGUAAAUUUUUUUUAUAAAGGAAUAAAGUGAGGCACGUGUGCCUUUUUGUAUGUACUUUAUGCAUAAGGAUCGGCUAACCCCGUGCCAGCAGCCGCGGUAAGACGGAGGAUCCGUGCGUUAUCCGGAUUUGAUGGGUUUAAAGGGAGCGUUGAUGGGUUGUUCAGUCAUGUGUGGAAGUGUGCGGCUCAAACGUAAAAUUGAAAUUGAUACUGGCAGGCUAGAGGAAAGGUGAGGUAGGGGGAAUU